rnacentral:rRNA from 1 species
UCAGAACGUACGCUGGCGGCACGCCUAACACAUGCAAGUCGAACGAAGUAGCAAUACUUAGUGGCAGACGGGUGAGUAACAUGUAGGUAUCUACCCUUUGGCCUGGAAUAACACGAGGAAACUUGUGCUAAUACCGGAUAAGUCUUUACGGAGAAAGCUUUAUGCACCAUUGGAUGAGCCUGCACUUGAUUAGUUUGUUGGUGGGGUAAUGGCCUACCAAGACUGUGAUCAAUAGCUGAUUUGAGAGGAUGAUCAGCCACAUUGGGACUGAGACACGGCCCAAACUCCUACGGGAGGCAGCAGUGGGGAAUCUUGCACAAUGGAGGAAACUCUGAUGCAGCGAUGCCGCGUGAGUGAAGAAGGCCCUUGGGUUGUAAAGCUCUUUCGUCGGGGAAGAAAAUGAC